GACGAACGCUGGCGGCGUGCCUAAUACAUGCAAGUAGGACGCAGUUGCGAACGGGUGAGUAACGCGUAGGUCACUACCUAUUGGUGGGGGCUCGCUAGUGGAAACGAUAGCUAAUACCGCAUACUAGUAGAUGGAGCUGCGUUGUAGUAGCUAGUAGGUAGGGUAAUGGCCUACCUAGGCGACGAUACCUAGCCGAUGUGAGAGGGUGUACGGCCACAAUGGGAAUGAGAAAAGGACCCGACUCCUACGGGAGGCAGGAGUAGGGAAACUUCGGAAAUGGGGGGAACCCUGACCGCGCAAAGCCCCGGGAGUGAAUGAGGUUUUCGGAUCGUAAAGCUCUGUUGUUAAGGAAGCGGUACUUAAACAGAAAGGGACGGCUAACUACGUGCCAGCAGCCGCGGUAAUAC
rnacentral:rRNA from 1 species